rnacentral:rRNA from 1 species
UACGAAGGGAGCUAGCGUUGUUCGGAAUCACUGGGCGUAAAGCGCACGUAGGCGGAUUUGCCAGUCAGGGGGUGAAAUCCCGGGGCUCAACCUCGGAACUGCCUUUGAUACAGCAAGUCUUGAGUUCGAGAGAGGUGAGUGGAACUGCGAGUGUAGAGGUGAAAUUCGUAGAUAUUCGCAAGAACACCAGUGGCGAAGGCGGCUCACUGGCCCGGUACUGGCGCUGAGGUGCGAAAGCGUGGGGAGCAAACAGG